rnacentral:rRNA from 1 species
GUGGUUUAAAUUCGAAGGAACGCGAAGAACCUUACCCAGGUCUUGACAUCCUCUGACAACCCUAGAGAUAGGCCUUUUCCCUUCGGGGGACAGAGUGACAGGUGGUGCAUGGUUGUCGUCAGCUCGUGUCGUGAGAUGCUGGGUUAAGUCCCGCAACGAGCGCAACCCUUGAUCUUAGUUGCCAGCACUCAGUUGGGCACUCUAAGGUGACUGCCGGUGACAAACCGGAGGAAGGUGGGGAUGACGUCAAAUCAUCAUGCCCCUUAUGACCUGGGCGACACACGUGCUACAAUGGAUGGUACAAAGGGCUGCAAACCUGCGAAGGUAAGCGUUCCCAUAAAGCCAUUCUCAGUCCGGAUUGCAGGCUGCAACUCGCCUGCAUGAAGCCGGAAUCGCUAGUAAUCGCGGAUCCGCAUGCCGCCGCGAGUACGUUCCCGGGCCUGGUACACACCACCCGUCACCUCACGAGAGUUUGUCACACCCUAAGUCCCGUGAGG